CCCCUGGUCUGGUCAUGGAUCUUAUGAACGGCCGCCCUGGACCGGUGCCGAUGGACAUUGCACAGGAAGCGGCGGCUAUGCGCGCCAUGGGUAUGACCCCGGACCAGAUCUCCGACACUCUGGGAGACAAGAUGCAGCUGCGCCAAAGCAUGCCGUUGGGGGGCGCUUUAAUGUAGGCCGCGCUCGGAGCGCAAGCGGGCGCUCAAUUCCCGGGCCUUGGUGGACUCGGCAGACCAUUUUAAACACAGACCAACCAAACUUACAACGAGGCUUUCUUUUCAAAAUGCAAAAAGCAGACCAAUACUUGAGAUUUGGACUACACAUUUAUGUUUUCGCGUUGAUGUCAAUAUUAGUUUAUACAGACAGUGUAUUUUGCGCAACUUUUUGCAUUUAUUUAUAUUAAUAAAUUUCAUAUGAUAUUCAAUAUGUUUCUAUUGUUAAACAUGUACAGUUAAAAGGAAAUGAACAUUAUGAAAAUAUCACAAAGUGUGUAACGUUCUUUUUUAAAUUCAUGCUUGUGUAGCUAACAAAACAUAAAAUAACAUCAAAAAUGCUUUACGAGUUUUAUUUGCUGAUAUGUGCAUUUAUUAAGAAGUCAUAAUUGUCUAUCACACUAUGUUGUAAAGAAUGAGUCAUGAAAUGACACGCAUGGUGCGGCAACGUUACUUCUAACCGUUAGUUUUUAGAGUAUGAUAGAAGAUAUAUAAUUCAAUUCUUAAUUGUUCUACGAUGUUGAUUCACCCGCGCUUGCUCACCCAUGGCGUCAUCUCAACAUAACGAAACUAUAUUAUAGUGACAAUUGUUUUAUUAAAAAUUGAGCGAGUUC